UAAGAACAUCCACUGACCUUGCAGAGGACCCGAGUUUGGUUCCUUGUGUCCAGUUCUGGUGGCUCACAGCCACCUCUAAGUCUAGGAAGAUUUGAUGCACAUCUAUACCUAGAUGCAUACAAGUACUCAUAAUUUAAAAGAAUACUAAUUUUAAAGGACAGAUGAUACAUUCAAAGGACAAAUAGAGAGGAGAGGGGAAUAGAAGCCAUUGUUUCUUGGGAUAAUAGGUUCUGGUGGGGAUUAUGAAAAGUUCUAGAAAUAGGUGUAGUCAGACAUACAACAUGGCCCCAGAUGUGCACUUAAAACUGGUUAAAAUGGUAGCUUUCAUGUUACAUCAUUCUUAUCACAAAAGGCAAACCACCCACAGGAAAAAGCCUGCAUUUAGGAGCCUGUGCCAGAGUCCGGAAGGUGGUUCAAGGUAGUGAGGCUAGGAGGUGGGAGGAGUCUGGGAGAGAUGCAGGAAGAGUGACAGGAGUGUGUCUGCCUCCUCACAGUGCACCUCCCUUGUCCUCUGCCACUGUGGUGGCAGCUGUGAAAGCUUCCUUUUCCUCCUGCUCUUCUUCUCACUCACCCUUUUAAAUUUUAUUUAUUUAUUUUAUGCAUAUGGAUGUUUUGCCGGCAUGUAUUUCUGUGUACCAUGUGCACCCAGUGUCCAUGGAGACCAGAAGAAGGCAUCAGCUCCCCUAGAACUGGAGUUACAGAUGUUUUUAAGGCGUGGAAGCACUGGGAAUCGAUCCCUAGUCCUCCGGUAGAGCCGUCAGUGUCCUUAACCACUGAGCCAUCUCUCUACUCCCCACGGUGGCCUCUUGCUUGACAUUAGUGGAGUCGAACGGCCCCUCUGAGGAACACACAGGAGAGCACAGGCCUCCUCAAGUGAGGGGGCUGAUGGAUGAGGCUCUGUGACUCGGUCCUCACGUCUUAGCCGCUGGCUGUGCCUUGGGUCUGUCAGUCCAGCUGUGCGUUGGGUCUGUCAGUCUGUUCAGGGUUUUUGAUGUCACCGCCCUUGCUGCUUUUGCUUACACUCGGUUUGUACAUGAAGUCAAACCGAGGACUUGGACCAAAGUCAGUCUCAAGAAGCAAGACGUCCGGAGGGCCCUGCAGCUGUGUGGGUGCCUCAGCUAAGAUGCCUGUGCCUCAUGCUAGAGUUCAAAGCAUCUUCCCCAUAAAUCUCAUUGUGUUUCUUUGAUCAGCUAUUUAGCAAAUUACAGGGUUGGGGAUUCACAGCCUGUUGCUCUCUGCCGUGCCAGUGAAAGUGUCCAGCUGUCGGGAGGAAGGUCGCUGCCCACUGAGGCCUUAACUGACUGCCACGUGUUUGGUACCUUGGCUCUCAGACUAAAAGUCUCUGGCAAUGGAGAGAUUUGUGCAACACUCACAUUGCGGAGGAAGGGUGCAGGAAGGCCGAAGCAGACAGAAUUGUGUUUCCUGUUUUUCCUUUUGAGAGAAGGUCGCACUGUAUAGCCCAGGCUGUUCUUGAAUUCAUGAUAGUUCUGCCUCAGCCUUCCCAGUGCUGGGUUACAGGUACUAGCACUUAGCCCAAACUAAGGAAUUCUUUCUUUUUGUCUGAGAAGGCCUUUUUUUUUUUUUUAAACCAGUAUUAACUCAGAUGAGGUAACUUGGUGGUAAAGGCUGCAAAGCCCGAUGAAAGAACUGAUUCCUGCAACGUGUCCCUGAUCUUUCCUGUGGCCUAAAAGUCAGGCACUCUGGUGCUGUGGGACUGGAGGCCAGUUACCUGGUUUGUAGUUUGUUUAGAUCCCACAACUCUUUUAUCGCUGUUGUCUCUAUUCAGAGCCAUCACUCUGUGGAUACCAAGCAGGCGGCGUACAGGACAUUUGGUUAAACUGAAUUCUCACCGGUAGGCCUCUCUCUGGGUGCAGUGAUCUGGGCUGUCUUACAUGUUCCUGGUGUCCGGUCCUCCUCUACUGCUUGUCCAGAUGAUUGUCACCAAAGUGACAUCUUUUUUCCUGCUAACCCCCAGAGGUCUCAGGAGCUCACGGGGUGAGAACAACAAUGCUGGUGUUUGCUUGACAUUGACUCUGAGGAGGUGUAACUCUCUCGAUGGCACACUCCUGUCACUUGCAGGAUGUCAGGGUGGACGCUAGAAUGAGGAGAGGCAGGCAGAGUCUGACAGGCUGCGCUUUCCCCUCUGUCAACCCAUGGUGAUGACUCCUGUCCCACACCACUGGAUCCUCUGCGGGUUCUAGAGGUGUCUUUUGACUCAAGACCUUUGACAAUAACGCCCGAUGACAGUAGUUCCUGUAUGUGGGUCAAGUGUCUUGUGGGGCAGAAUGUGCCUGCCUUCUUUUCCCCAGGUGAGCAGUACUUCUGAGGGCGCCUGUUAAACCGCACCUGAACUGGGUUAGGCACACUGGGGUCCGCUGCUCUAUUCCCAGAUCAGUUUUCUAGCUGUGGUCCUUGGUGCAGGCGAUGAUGCUGUCCGAGAGCUCAUGGGAGAGCAAGUGGGGAGGAUGGCUUGUUAGGAGUAAGACUUGCACAAGCUGCCGGGCGGUGGUGGCGCACACCUUUGAUCCCAGCACUUGGGAGGCAGAGGCAGGCGGAUUUCUGAGUUUGAGGCCAGCCUGGUGUACAGAGUGAGUUCCAGGACAGCUUGGGCUAUACAGAGAAACCCUGUCUCGGGGGGGAAAAAAAAAAGACUUGCACAGGCCACAGCAGCUGUGUGUGUGUGUGACAGCAAUAAGUGACACUUCCUGACAUCCCCACCCUGACUCCCAGAACACAUGUGUUCUCCUAGACUUUACAAGUUCAUGGGGCAAGAGCCGGCAGUGAUCCUGCUACAGGAAGCUAGAAUUUUAGAAGAGCAGGUGGGAGGGGGGUCACCUCAAACAGCCUCACGUCAUCUGCAUUGCAUUUUAGGACAUGGCAGACACAGAAUGUAACCUGUUGGCUCUUCAGGGUCUAUGCUGUCUAAUCUCAUUGGUAGUGAAAAGAAAUCUUCUGUAGAAACUUGAGGUAUCUGGCUUUGAGCCCAGAAGGGUUGGAAUCUUAGAACUAAAAGAGCCCGUGGUGGUUGUCUGUUGGCAACUGGAUUGUAAGGGAAAGG
rnacentral:lncRNA from 1 species